rnacentral:tRNA from 1 species
GGGCGCUUGGUCUAGGGGUAUGAUACUCGCUUCGCAUUUGCGGAAUUGUGAGUGGUCGUGGGUUCAAUUCCCACAGUGUCCA